CCUUCUGUUUGGCCAUAGUUUCUAACUGUUAGAUUAGCCCACUGCUACCUUCUGGUUUUUGUUUGUUUGUUUGCAUCUUCCUCUGAAGCAUCUGGCACUGGCCGCUGUUGGAGAAAGGCUCCUGGACUAGAUGGAGCUUGGUUUUGAUUGCAUCUGGCAAUUCCUAUGUUCCCUUUGUUUAUAGGUUCCUGGUGAGCUGAGGAGUUAUUCCUUUAGCAAAGCAGGGUCCCAAGGGGAAGAGCACACGGUCUCUCAGCCAUUAGGUCAGUGGCAUUGUAGCUAGGCAUUACUUCCAGACGGUGCAAAGAUAUCGCAGCCGAUCCAUCCACCAGGUCUCCUCCCUUUUCUCUCUCGGAAGGAGGUGGGGAAACUGAGGCACUGAGAGGGACGACGUGACUUGCCCAAGAUCACCCAGCAGCACAGGCUUGAGUUCACUGCACUUAAUCCCUAACACAAGCCCCGCCAACGUCUCUCCUAGCUUGCCUUUCUGCCUUUCUACUCUGCG